CAGGUAACGCCUGGGGGGCGCGAGUCCACGGAAAGUGCAGCAGAAAGGAAACCGCCUGUUCGCAGGUAAGGGUGAAAAGGUGCGGUAAGAGCGCACCGCGCGGUUGGCAACAACCGUGGCGAUGGUAAACCCCGCCCGGAGCAAGACCAAAUAGGAAUCUGAUGCCGUGACCCUCGGCGGAUUCGGGUAGGUCGCUUCAGGCGAACGGUGACGUUCGUCGCAGAUGAAUGAUCGUCCAUGACAGAACCCGGCUUAUCGACCGACUCGCUAU
rnacentral:RNase_P_RNA from 1 species